GAUGAACGCUGGCGGCGUGCCUAAUACAUGCAAGUCGAGCGAUUGGAUUAAGAGCUUGCUCUUAUGAAGUUAGCGGCGGACGGGUGAGUAACACGUGGGUAACCUGCCCAUAAGACUGGGAUAACUCCGGGAAACCGGGGCUAAUACCGGAUAACAUUUUGAACCGCAUGGUUCGAAAUUGAAAGGCGGCUUCGGCUAUCACUUAUGGAUGGACCCGCGUCGCAUUAGCUAGUUGGUGAGGUAACGGCUCACCAAGGCAACGAUGCGUAGCCGACCUGAGAGGGUGAUCGGCCACACUGGGACUGAGACACGGCCCAGACUCCUACGGGAGGCAGCAGUAGGGAAUCUUCCGCAAUGGACGAAAGUCUGACGGAGCAACGCCGCGUGAGUGAUGAAGGCUUUCGGGUCGUAAAACUCUGUUGUUAGGGAAGAACAAGUGCUAGUUGAAUAAGCUGGCACCUUGACGGUACCUAACCAGGAAGCCACGGCUAACUACGUGCCAGCCGCCGCCGUAA
rnacentral:rRNA from 1 species